CUACAGUCCACCCCCUCUGCUUAUCCUGGUUGCUCCUGGACUAUCAGAUACUUGGAGAUUAACUUCCGUUGCGUACAAAGUGUCAGAAUUGGAAAGUAGGAAACAGGGGCGAAGCCAAAAGCACAUGUACCGGUAUCAGGAUGAGGCAUGAAUUGAUUGGUGGUUAUGGCGACUACAGCACUCCCUGUGGAUUGCUUGUUCAUACAAGUACAAAUCAACUUCAAGUUAUCUAGUUAUUGUUUUGCUGGAGCAAUGUAGGGUCAGGUGUCUUGUUGAUUUAGGGAGAGCGUGCAACAUCCAAAACGAUGCUUUACAUAGUGUCACACAGUGAAGAAGAGGAAGGCCACUGCCAAUUGUGCUCCAAAAAAAUAAUUUAUUUAAACAUACAUUUCAGGUGACCGAACCCAAGUGAUUAUUUUAAUUGUCCCUAAACAACGUUCAUUUUUGGAGGCGUGGUUCAGCUUUGGAGGAGAUAUUUUUAUUUUAAUUGUAUUACCUGUUUCAUUUUCUUUCAAACAUGUUUUCAUUUCUUGACAUGAAUGAAAAAAACAAAAAAAACAAUG